rnacentral:rRNA from 1 species
GUUUGACCGUGGCAAGUAGCAUAAUCAUUUGUCUUUUAAUUAAAGGCUUGUAUGAAUGGUUGGAUGAGAUAUAAUCUAUUUUUAUUUAAUUAAAAAUGAAUUUUAAUUUUUAGUAAAAAUGCUAAAAUAAAAAAUAUAGACGAGAAGACCCUAUAAAUCUUUAUUAUUUUUUUAUUAAUUUAUUAAUAGAAUAUUGAAUUUAUUAGUAUAAAAAUAAUUUUAUUGGGGUGAUAAUGAAAUUUAAUAAACUUUUAUUUUAUUUUAUAAAUAUAAUUAAUUUAAUGAUCCAUUUUUAAUGAUUAUAAAAUUAAGUUACUUUAGGGAUAACAGCGUAAUUAUUUUAAAGAGUUCAUAUCGAUAAAAUAGUUUGCGACCUCGAUGUUGAAUUAAGAGUAAGUUUAGGUGUAGAAGUU